rnacentral:lncRNA from 1 species
CUCCCCUCUCCAGCUUGAUGGAGUAUUGCUUGCUCUCACCUAAGGGCUGGCUCCCCUGCCUCACAUCUUGUUCAGUUUGAUGACGUGAAAACCAAGGCUUUCAAGAUCAUUGGAAUCUUUCACAAUGAAGCUGAGACUAAGGGCCUAUCACUUCGCCAUCACAGACAGAAACUCUGCACAGGGUGACAACUCAUCAGAGUGCUGGAGGAGGCAGCUGGGGGGUGGGGUGGGGGAGGUCAAAGUUCAACGGAGGAGAAGCUAUGGCUGAAAAGGCUGUGCAUACCGGGAGAGAUUCCAAAGCAAAUUGUCACCACCAAGCCUUUAUGCUCCAAGCGGACUAUUAAGAGCAGCAAGCAACUCAUUGAGCCAUGAACCAGGGCGAUCCAUCAAUGUUUGCUCCAUCCAUCGGAGGGACGUCAAGCUGGAGGACCCGUCUGCCAGCACUGUGGUCAUUGGUAGACGUUAAAGAUGCCAUCUCUGUUUGUAAUCCCGCAAGGUUCAAAGUCCACUCACUGUCAGCGAUGGUCGAAGGUUUGGAAAGAACGCGCCCAUCUACGAAUCUCCGGGCCUUGCACUGGUCCACAUCCUCAAGUUUGCAGUAUGAACGGCUGAACAGAUCGAAGAGAAACUUCACACAAAUGUUCCCCAAGCCUUGGGGAUACCAGGGUAUUCAUGAAUAAUUGAUGUCACAUGGUCUGACAGCCAUAUUGGAUUGAGUGAAAAAUCUUUUAAAAUUUCAUUUUCUUAAACCACUUAAUCAAUUGUUUCAUCAAUUCACAAUUAUGAUCUAGUAAUGAUGCGGAAUAUAUGUUAUAAAAUUGAACCUGAUCGGACGCAUGGUGUAGCAGCUAGAAUUAUUUAAUUUUGGGGUAUCUGGGUUCUUUUGGAUUUUUUUCAUUUUAUUUUGAAUAAGGCUAAUUUGACUCUGCCUGGAUGAGUUUGAGGGUAGAGGAGUCGCAGAUGAAAUGUGAAUCCUAUCCAGGUUCCUCCUGAUGACUUCAUCUUUGCUUUUUGCUUGUUCGGGUUCCUUCGAAUUACUCCAACACAGGACUGUACCCAUUUGGUCUUCCAUUUGAUUUGAAUUGAAUUUAUUUUAAUCCCAUUCUAGACUCAAUUGAAUGAUAAUAAAAAAUCGUCAUGGGUUAGGAUCGGGUGUCCGAUCAAAGCGGGACGUCUCGGUACCCGGUCAUCACUGCCAGCAGUUAUAAAGUCGCAGUUCGAAUUAUGUCUCUUGUUAAUGACACAACACACCAGUACACAAACGCCACACAAAAUACACCACACAACACACGACACAAACACCACACAAAACAAGUCCUGAUAAGGGUCUGCAAUCUCUGAUUGCUCUUUUUCUUGUUCAAAUUAUUAAUAUCACUUUAUCUUCCAUUGACAGUUAUUUUCAUUUUGUCGUUAUUGUGAAUAACUUUUCUCCG